rnacentral:rRNA from 1 species
UGGGGAAUAUUGGGCAAUGGGCGCAAGCCUGACCCAGCAACGCCGCGUGAAGGAAGAAGGCCCUCGGGUUGUAAACUUCUUUUAUCAGGGACGAAACAAAUGACGGUACCUGAUGAAUAAGCCCCGGCUAACUACGUGCCAGCAGCCGCGGUAAUACGUAGGUGGCAAGCGUUAUCCGGAUUUACUGGGUGUAAAGGGCGUGUAGGCGGGUCUGCAAGUCAGAUGUGAAAUUUCAGGGCUCAACCCUGAACCUGCAUUUGAAACUGUAGAUCUUGAGUGAUGGAGAGGCAGGCGGAAUUCCGUGUGUAGCGGUGAAAUGCGUAGAUAUACGGAGGAACACCAGUGGCGAAGGCGGCCUGCUGGACAUUAACUGACGCUGAGGCGCGAAAGCGUGGGGAGCAAACAGG